rnacentral:rRNA from 1 species
GACGAACGCUGGCGGCGUUGGAUUAGGCAUGCAAGUCGAACGGUAGGAUACCUUCGGGUAUCUGAGAGUGGCGAACGGGUGAGUAACACGUAGGUGAUCUACCCUCAAGAUUGGGACAACCCAGGGAAACUUGGGCUAAUACCGGAUGAAAGCAGCAGCGAUGUUGUUUGAAAGGUGGCGUAAGCUGCCGUUUGGGGAUGAGCCUGCGCUCUAUUAGUUAGUUGGCGGGGUAAAGGCCCACCAAGGCGAUGAUAGAUAGGCGGCCUUAACGGGUGGUCGCCCACACUGGGAUUGAGAUACGGCCCAGACUCCUACGGGAGGCAGCAGUCGAGAAUAGUCUACAAUGGCCGAAAGGCUGAUAGUGCGACGCCGCGUGAACGAAGAAGCCCUUCGGGGUGUAAAGUUCUUUUAUAUGUGAGCAGUGCUUUCUAUGUGAACAGCAUGGGGAGAGAGAUAUUAGCAUAUGAAUAAGCAACGGCUAACUCCGUG